GAGCUUGCUCUUCGAUUCAGCGGCGGACGGGUGAGUAAUACCUAGGAAUCUGCCUGGUAGUGGGGGACAACGUUUCGAAAGGAACGCUAAUACCGCAUACGCCCUACGGGGGAAAGCAGGGGACCUUCGGGCCUUGCGCUAUCAGAUGAGCCUAGGUCGGAUUAGCUAGUUGGUGAGGUAAUGGCUCACCAAGGCGACGAUCCGUAACUGGUCUGAGAGGAUGAUCAGUCACACUGGAACUGAGACACGGUCCAGACUCCUACGGGAGGCAGCAGUGGGGAAUAUUGGACAAUGGGCGAAAGCCUGAUCCAGCCAUGCCGCGUGUGUGAAGAAGGUCUUCGGAUUGUAAAGCACUUUAAGUUGGGAGGAAGGGUACUUACCUAAUACGUGAGUAUUUUGACGUUACCGACAGAAUAAGCACCGGCUAACUCUGUGCCAGCAGCCGCGGUAAUACAGAGGGUGCAAGCGUUAAUCGGAAUUACUGGGCGUAAAGCGCGCGUAGGUGGUUCGUUAAGUUGGAUGUGAAAUCCCCGGGCUCAACCUGGGAACUGCAUCCAAAACUGGCGAGCUAGAGUAGGGCAGAGGGUGGUGGAAUUUCCUGUGUAGCGGUGAAAUGCGUAGAUAUAGGAAGGAACACCAGUGGC
rnacentral:rRNA from 1 species